GAUGAAGAACGUAGCGAAAUGCGAUAAGUAAUGUGAAUUGCAGAAUUCAGUGAAUCAUCGAAUCUUUGAACGCACCUUGCGCCCCUUGGUUAUUCCAAAGGGCAUGCCUGUUUGAGUAUCAUGAACACCUCAACUCUUGUGGUUUCCCACAAUGAGCUUGGACUGUGGAGGUUUUGUUGGCCCUGUGGUCAGCUCCUCUCAAAUGGAUCAGCUUACCGGUGUUUGGUGGCAUUACGGGUGUGAUAACUAUCUACGCUCGUGGUCGUCUCCAAAUAACCUCCAGUGAUGGAGGUUCGCUGGAGCUUAUAAAUGUCUCUCCCCAGUGAAUACAGCCUUUGAACGUUCGAUCUCAAAUCAGGUAGGACUACCCGCUGAACUUAAGCAUAUCAAUAAGCGGAGGA
rnacentral:misc_RNA from 1 species